rnacentral:tRNA from 1 species
GUAAACAUAGUUUAUUCAAAACACU